rnacentral:rRNA from 1 species
GACAGAGGUGCCAAGCGUUUAGGCGGAAUCACUGGGCUUAAAGCGUGUGUAGGCGGGUGCCUAAGUACCUUGUGAAAUCCCCCGGCUCAACCGGGGAACUGCUGGGUAUACUGGGUGCCUUGGGUCAUCUAGGGGCUGCCGGAACAAAUGGUGGAGCGGUGAAAUGCGUAGAUAUCAUUCGGAACGCCAACGGCGAAAGCAGGCAGCUGGGGGAUGCACCGACGCUGAGACACGAAAGCCAGGGGAGCGAACGGG